AUGCAAGUCGAGGGGUAUAGUAGCAAUACUAGAGACCGGCGCACGGGUGCGUAACGCGUAUGCAAUCUACCUUUUACAGAGGGAUAGCCCAGAGAAAUUUGGAUUAAUACCUCAUAGUAUAGCGACCUGGCAUCAGGAUUCUAUUAAAGUCACAACGGUAAAAGAUGAGCAUGCGUCCCAUUAGCUAGUUGGUAAGGUAACGGCUUACCAAGGCGACGAUGGGUAGGGGUCCUGAGAGGGAGAUCCCCCACACUGGUACUGAGACACGGACCAGACUCCUACGGGAGGCAGCAGUGAGGAAUAUUGGACAAUGGGCGCAAGCCUGAUCCAGCCAUGCCGCGUGCAGGAUGACGGUCCUAUGGAUUGUAAACUGCUUUUGUACAGGAAGAAACCCUUUCACGUGUGAGAGAUUGACGGUACUGUAAGAAUAAGGAUCGGCUAACUCCGUGCCAGCAGCCGCGGUAAUACGGAGGAUCCAAGCGUUAUCCGGAAUCAUUGGGUUUAAAGGGUCCGUAGGCGGCCAGAUAAGUCAGUGGUGAAAGCCCAUCGCUCAACGGUGGAACGGCCAUUGAUACUGUCUGGCUUGAAUUACAAGGAAGUAACUAGAAUAUGUAGUGUAGCGGUGAAAUGCUUAGAGAUUACAUGGAAUACCAAUUGCGAAGGCAGGUUACUACUUGUGGAUUGACGCUGAUGGACGAAAGCGUGGGUAGCGAACAGGAUUAGAUACCCUGGUAGUCCACGCCGUAAACGAUGGAUACUAGCUGUUGGGAGCAAUUUCAGUGGCUAAGCGAAAGUGAUAAGUAUCCCACCUGGGGAGUACGGGCGCAAGCCUGAAACUCAAAGGAAUUGACGGGGGCCCGCACAAGCGGUGGAGCAUGUGGUUUAAUUCGAUGAUACGCGAGGAACCUUACCAAGGCUUAAAUGUAGAUUGACCGUUUUGGAAACAGAA
rnacentral:rRNA from 1 species